rnacentral:rRNA from 1 species
CAGCAGUGAGGAAGGGUUCAUGCGUUAAUAGCGUAUGGAUUUGACGUUAGCUGCAGAAGAAGACACCGGCUAACUACCGUGCCAGCAGCCGCGGUAAUACGGAGGGUGCGAGCGUUAAUCGGAAUUACUGGGCGUAAAGCGCAUGCAGGUGGUUUGUUAAGUCAGAUGUGAAAGCCCGGGGCUCAACCUCGGAAUUGCAUUUGAAACUGGCAGACUAGAGUACUGUAGAGGGGGGUAGGAAGUUUCAGGUGUAGCGGUGAAAUGCGUAGAGAUCUGAAGGAAUACCGGUGGCGAAGGCGGCCCCCUCGGACAGAUACUGACACUCAGAUGCGAAAGCGUGGGGAGCAAACAGGAUUAGAUACCCUGGUAG